GCUGUAACCAAACAGAAGGGCAGAGAUCAGCCCAGGGACCACGCCAUCCCCAGCAGCCUUGCCUCAUGAUCUCCCUAGGACACACCCGUCCCUCAUGCUGACUCUAAGCCAAUGACCACCUCAGCGGCUCUAUACAAGGACUGCUGGCUUUAUACAAGGACUGUUACCAUGGCCUGGAGCUGGAAUGGGAUUCCAGAGCUAGAAAGGAAACCUUCUACUUUGUGGAGAAGGGAGAUGCAUUUUCCAGAAGUCAGAGUUUGGAGCUCUCAGUGGGUCAACAGUUUGGAGCAGGGUUUUUCCAGUUCUGCUUUUAAUAUAACCAAGUAACCUGCUCUCUUUCACCCAAUUCCAGUGAGAGAGCAGGGUUAACUACCUUAACCUCCCAGCUAGAACUCAUUCUCUGGAAAUAUCUAUGUGCCUAAAUUAAUACCAUAUCACUUCUCACCCAUUUUAUCAGUGGAAUAAAAAAUAUCUUUACCAAACUAUCAAAGUAAUAAUUGAUUAAGACAGAAAUCAUGAAUGAAUGUUAAACAGGAUACAUACCUAAUCUCAAGGCAUCUCCCCAUUAAUUACAAAGGGAAAUAGCACCAGUAAUAGGACAAAGCUACAUGAGAUGCCUCCUGCUAGGAGGCACUUGGAAGGACACAACUUCACAUCUAUGAUAUUACUGCCAAAAAUGCAUAACCUGAAUCUAUUCAUGAGGAAACAUCAAACAGAUUCAAGUUGAGGACCAUUCUACAAAAUAACUGGCCUGUACCCUUCAGAAAUGUUAGAGUUAUUAAAGACAGAAACUUCCAGGUUAAAGGAGACUAAAUAUAAAUUAUGACAAUGUAAAGAAUGAUCUUGGACCAGAAAACAAUUUUUUUCUUUUGCUAUAAAGGAUGUUAAUAGGGCAACUGAUAACAUUUAAAUAAAGUUUAUAGAUAAUAGUAUUUUAUCAUUCUUAAUUUCAUGGUUUUGAUCAUUGUACUGUGGUUUCGUAAGAAUGUCCUUGUCUUUUAGGAAAUAUAUACUGACGUAUAGGGGGAUAAAGAGGUAUAUCUGUAACUUACUCUCAGAUGGUUCAGAAAUAUGAAUGUGUAUAUAUGUGUGUAAUAUAUGUAUAUAUACUGUCUAUAAAAAUUGAGAAUGAUAAAGCAAUGUGAAUGAUAAAGUAUGUGAUAAAAUGUAAAAAUGUUAACAUUUGGAGAAUCUGGAUAAAGAAUGCCUGGGGAUUCUUUGGACUAGUCUUAUAACUUUUUUAGUAAGCCAAAUAUUUCAAAAUAAAGUUUUUAAAAACAGAAUAUAUAUAAUUAGCAAUAAUAUACUUAUUGACAAAACAGUAGUUCUCCAAAUCUUUUCUGAAUCAUCUAACUGGCCGUCAGUACCAAAAUUUAAAAAAUUCUUUAUAAAAUAUAUAUACUAUUACAAAAUUAAAAA